rnacentral:rRNA from 1 species
AGUAGACGUUCAGAGUUUGAUCCUGGCUCAGGAUGAACGCUAGCGAUAGGCUUAACACAUGCAAGUCGAGGGGCAGCAUAUUCGAAGCUUGCUUUGAAUGAUGGCGACCGGCGCACGGGUGCGUAACGCGUAAAGAACUUGCCUCACAGUUUGGGACAACAUUUGGAAACGAAUGCUAAUACCGAAUAUUAUGAGACUGUCGCAUGACGGUAUCAUGAAAGCUAUAUGCGCUGUGAGAGAGCUUUGCGUCCCAUUAGCUAGUUGGAGAGGUAACGGCUCACCAAGGCGAUGAUGGGUAGCCGGCCUGAGAGGGUGAACGGCCACAAGGGGACUGAGACACGGCCCUU